rnacentral:misc_RNA from 1 species
GAAAAUAAUAUCAAUAAUAAUUUAUCUGAGCACACAGUUUAAGAAGAAAGAAACAGUUCGCCUGUUCAGAAUAAGGUGGUCACAACAUGAUGACAAGCUAAUUUUGUUGCAAAGGAUGGUACCAUUAUUAGAAGUGUGACUAGUGGAUUCAGGUCUUUUUCCAAUCCAUUUUGAACCUAAAUGACUAUGACGUCACAAAGUUUGGCCUGGCUGGGAUAAAAAAGCACAACUCUAUUUCUAGGAUGCAGAAUAUACAAACUUAUUAAUGUCUUUAUGUCUAGAAAAAUACCAGACAAAUUACAUGCCUAAAUAUUUGAUCAAGCGUUUAACUUGUAUCUUGUCAUAUAAAGUCACUGGCCUCUUGCCCGCUUCUUACUAUGCUGUGGCAGAUCACUGAAUGACUGCAAACUCACACCAACAUCUUCAUCAUAUUCAAUUCCAAGUUCCUCCUUAAACUCCUUCAGAUCCUUAGGUGAAUUCUCAGUGAUAGCAUCCCACAGGUCCUUGAAUAUCCUUUUACGCCUUCUCCACUGACUUGUUUGCUCCGAGUACAUUUUCUCAAUUGCCUUUCGCUCUUCUGGCCUCACUAGGGUAACUCCUCCCCGCAAUUUUACCAAUUUGUUCUCCAUUUCCAUUACCUCCUUUCUCAAUUUGACUUCUUUGUCACGUAUCUGUUCCAAGGUCAAAUUUGACUGCAAAAUUUUAAUUUCUGCAAUCAUGUACAUUGAUCCUCAUAUUAGGUGACUAAAAGUCUAUAUUUCUAUGAUUUUCCUAACAUCCAUGAAACUGAAAUCCACAAAUCAAAAGCUCAUAUACCUAAGAUGUGCAUGUGUAAAAUGUAUGCUAAUUGAGACAAAUUAUAUUUGCAGUUCUUUCUUCUAAUGUGGAAUAUAAUAGAUUCAUUAUUGCAAUGUUUAUUCAAAUUAUAGAAAGCAUAAUCACGCUAUUCUCAAUGUAAAAAUAUCAACCGUAUAAAGGAAAUACCUCCCUCAACCUCACUAAUUGCUCUCUUCUGAUCUUCCAGCUGUUGCUGCAGUUUGGCAUUUUCUUCUUUCAUAUGAUUAAGCUCUUCACUAUUUGGGAUGUCAAACUGAUCUUGCCGAGCAAGGUAUAUCUUUUGCUUGCCAUACUCCUUGAAGGAAAUCUUCCCACUAUCUGCAAGAGUGUCUAGUGCUUUUUGUAUGGCUGCCUUUUUAAGAUUGAACUUUUGCAAUGAGUCAGCUACAUUUUGAGAAUUUAGCGGCCUAUUUUGCUCGUUCACGAAGUUAAGCACGAUCGCUUCGGCGCUUUCUGAUUUGGGAGCCAUUUGCCGAUCGGAAAACGAGAGAAAAUGCGCGGGAAAAAUGCUCUGAAAUCUCAGUUGGAGUGAUGUUUGGCCAAGGAUGAGAAGCAGGCUUGCCUUGUACGGG